AAUUAAAUCAGUAUGUUUGAUUGUAAUGCUGCCACGUUUUGGUUUCAUGUGGUUUUGGACCCUUUCAAUUAAGUUCGUGCAGUCCAUAAUUAACCUUAAUUAACUAAUGAUUAAUUAACAUCGUUUUGACGUAGAGCUGACCAUAUCAAUUUUUGUCGAAAACUCCACUUUGCAACUGCGACUCAGUCACUCAGCUUGUUAAAAACGCCACAUCAGGUCUUUCCAAAUUUUGACCCUUAAUUUGAAUAAAAUAUCCAAACUACCCCUUAAAACCCUCUCUCUUCCCUUAAAAAGACUUCACCUCUCUCUCUCUCUCUCUCUCUCUCUCUCUCUCUGAGUCUCUGCUGGUUUCAAAUGGAAGCCGACAUCCUAGCCCCAGUUCCUCCUCCUCAAUUCAAUAAUCGCUUAAUAACAUCGAUAAGAAGCUAAAAGGUGUACUCAAUCAAGCUAGAAGGCAGCUCUAUCAGAAAAUUCACGACAUUGAAUCAAGAAGGCAGCUUCCUAGCUCGAAAAGUCGCAAACUUCGACCCUUUGGAGGACGAAUACUUCACCCCGGCCAUUUUCCUUCAAGAACUCCUCGAUCUUCUCCUUAGCUCCCUCAGGAUCAACACACACACUCAAUCUCAUAACAAGUUUCAAACUCAUACUGAGCCUCAUCCACCUCUAAUUUCAACCCUUUCCAAUCAUACACAUCCCUUCCAUUCCCAAACCCUUCCAUCCUCAUAAACCCCAAAUUCCACUCUCACCCUCCUCAAGGCUCAAAGUCAUAGUUUCCUAAAAUCAUGCCUUCAGGAAAUAGAGUGUCGUUCUUCUAGAUGAUUCUACUCUCUCCUUCUCUCUCCUUCCAUUUUUUGAGUUGCAAUACUCUUUACUUCUCUAGUGCUUCUAGACGAUGAUACUCACCGUAUAUUUUAAUUAGGGUGGGAAUAAUGAAUGGUCAACUAUGUUAAAGAGACACCCGCGCCGCAAGAAUUCAUUUUGGUGCAGUCACUGGCCGCAAGAAAAAACACCCAAAGUCCCAAACCUACACGGCUACACCUUCCAUUACAUCAUCCAUGACGGCCUUCCAUUACAUCAUCUCCAUGACGGCCUUCCAUUACAUCAUCCAUGACGGCCUUCCAUUACAUCGUCAUGGUUUCGGCGUUGUCUGCAAAGGAUGCAUGGUGAUAAUUCUGACACCUUAGAAGCUUGAGAAAGAA